AAAUUGAAGAGUUUGAUCAUGGCUCAGAUUGAACGCUGGCGGCAGGCCUAACACAUGCAAGUCGAACGGUAACAGGAAGAAGCUUGCUUCUUUGCUGACGAGUGGCGGACGGGUGAGUAAUGUCUGGGAAACUGCCUGAUGGAGGGGGAUAACUACUGGAAACGGUAGCUAAUACCGCAUAACGUCGCAAGACCAAAGAGGGGGGACCUUCGGGCCUCUUGCCAUCGGAUGUGCCCAGAUGGGAUUAGCUAGUAGGUGGGGUAACGGCUCACCUAGGCGACGAUCCCUAGCUGGUCUGAGAGGAUGACCAGCCACACUGGAACUGAGACACGGUCCAGACUCCUACGGGAGGCAGCAGUGGGGAAUAUUGCACAAUGGGCGCAAGCCUGAUGCAGCCAUGCCGCGUGUAUGAAGAAGGCCUUCGGGUUGUAAAGUACUUUCAGC
rnacentral:rRNA from 1 species